rnacentral:rRNA from 1 species
CAUGCAAGUCGAACGGAAAGUGCUCUUCGGAGUGACUCGAGUGGCGAACGGGUGAGUAACACGUGGGUGAUCUGCCCUGCACUUUGGGAUAAGCCUGGGAAACUGGGUCUAAUACCGGAUAGGACCACAUGCUUCAUGGUGUGUGGUGGAAAGCUUUUGCGGUGUGGGAUGGGCCCGCGGCCUAUCAGCUUGUUGGUGGGGUAAUGGCCUACCAAGGCGACGACGGGUAGCCGGCCUGAGAGGGUGUCCGGCCACACUGGGACUGAGAUACGGCCCAGACUCCUACGGGAGGCAGCAGUGGGGAAUAUUGCACAAUGGGCGCAAGCCUGAUGCAGCGACGCCGCGUGAGGGAUGACGGCCUUCGGGUUGUAAACCUCUUUCAGCACAGACGAAGCGCAAGUGACGGUAUGUGCAGAAGAAGGACCGGCCAACUACGUGCCAGCAGCCGCGGUAAUACGUAGGGUCCGAGCGUUGUCCGGAAUUACUGGGCGUAAAGAGCUCGUAGGUGGUUUGUCGCGUUGUUCGUGAAAACUCACA